rnacentral:lncRNA from 1 species
CUUGGAUUGAAUUGACUCAUCAUGUCACCCAAAAUGGCCACUUCAGAUUGAAUCAAUUCUGAAUUGAUUCUGUCCUGCAGUUGGGUAUGAAACCAGGAGUAUGUCAUAUGGCAGCAUGGAGAAGAGGGGAGCUCAGGAGCUGGGCAAAAUCAAUCUUCACCAUGCCUGUCCACCCACUAAGACAUCAUCACUUCAGCUAGACCAAUCAUGGUGAAAACCCCACCCAGGUUUGUAGAGUUCUUCCUUUGUCAAUUGAAAAAAAGUAUGUGAAUAAGUCACGUAAACUUCUUUUGUUUUAUCUUUUCAAUGAGUUGUUUUGCUUUCUUGGGCUUUUUUGGAUUUCAUGUUUUCCCCUUCUUUCCCCAUCCACCACUGCCUGUUCUUCAUGGCUGUGUUCCUGAUGCCUGACGUGAUAUUCGUGGAGUAAAUGGAUGCAUAUAUUAGUGAACAGGCUAUGAAACUCAAAUCCCCUUUAAGUCUGUGAGCUCCUUGGUGUUGGGGUCUUUGUCUUAGGGCGAUGACAUAUAAUGGAAAGACCAUAGGUUUUGUUCUAUGAUCAGACACAAAUUAGCUGUGUGAUCUUUGGCAAAUUGCACCCCCUCUCUGAGCCCUGGUUUCUCUUUUUGUCUAAUAUAGCUAGGAAUGGUAUAUAUCUCAUUGAAAUGUAAAUGAUAGAGUGAUCAUCAUGUGAAGUUCUCAGCACAGAGCCUGGCAUAUUGUAGGUGCUUACUAAAUGACAGAUAAUGAAUGAAUGAGCCUGAGGAAUACAUAGCAUAUAAUUUGAUAUGUAAUGCAUAACACAUAAGCCUUUGCUCCUUUCCCUGCCCUUCUGCAAUGGCCUGACUUCUAUCUAUUCACAAAAGAUUCAGGCAAGAGCAAGUAGAUGGAUAAAGGCUUGAAACAUAACAGCAAACAAGCCAAUAUUGAGCACCUACUGUGUGCAGCUACUGGGCUAAUCACUGUAAGACAGGUGGAGAUGAUUGCAAUAUAGUCCCUCUCCUCAAAGAAGUGGCAUCUCAACGUGGCAUUAGGUGUUUGAAGAUCCCGAUGGACAGACACAUGGGAUGAAAGACAGCAUCAUCACAGGAUGAGGAUAGUGGUUUGGAGAAUGUUGAGGAGACCAGGGUGUGGGGAAACAGGGAAAGAUUUAGCUAGAAAGUUGCUCGGGAUCAAACCCAUGAGGAUUCUGAUGCCCCACUGAGGAAAUUAGAC